UACGGAGGGUGCAAGCGUUAAUCGGAAUUACUGGGCGUAAAGCGUGCGUAGGUGGUUGAUUAAGUUAUCUGUGAAAUUCCUGGGCUUAACCUGGGGCGGUCAGAUAAGACUGGUUGACUCGAGUAUGGGAGAGGGUAGUGGAAUUUCCGGUGUAGCGGUGAAAUGCGUAGAGAUCGGAAGGAACACCAGUGGCGAAGGCGGCUACCUGGCCUAAUACUGACACUGAGGCACGAAAGCGUGGGGAGCAAACAGG
rnacentral:rRNA from 1 species